rnacentral:rRNA from 1 species
UCGAGGCGAAGUAGGGUGAUCCCAUGCUGCCGAGAAAAGCCUCUAGCGAGUGCUGUUGCGGCCCGUACCCUAAACCGACACAGGUGGUCAGGUAGAGAAUACCGAGGCGAUCGAGUGAACUGUGGUUAAGGAACUCGGCAAAAUGCCCCCGUAACUUCGGGAGAAGGGGGACCGCUGGCCUUGAAGCUCUUUGCGGGCUAGGGGUUGGUGGUCGCAGAGACCAGGCCCAAGCGACUGUUUACUAAAAACACAGGUCCGUGCGAAGUCGUAAGACGAUGUAUACGGACUGACGCCUGCCCGGUGCUGGAACGUUAAGAGGACCUGUUAGUCCCUUUGGGGGCGAAGCGGAGAAUUUAAGCCCAGUAAACGGCGGUGGUAACUAUAACCAUCCUAAGGUAGCGAAAUUCCUUGUCGGGUAAGUUCCGACCUGCACGAAUGGCGUAACGACUCGGGCGCUGUCUCGACCACAGACUCGGCGAAAUUGCAUUACGAGUAAAGAUGCUCGUUACGCGCGGCAGGACGGAAAGACCCCGGGACCUUUACUACAGCUUGGUAUUGGUGCUCGGUUCGGCUUGUGUAGGAUAGGUGGGAGACUGUGAAGGUGCCUCGCUAGUGGUGCUGGAGUCGUUGUUGAAAUACCACUCUGGUCGGAUUGGGUGUCUGAACCUCGGGCCAUGAUCUGGUUCAGGGACAGUGCCUGGUGGGUAAUUUAACUGGGGCGGUUGCCUCCUAAAGGGUAACGGAGGCGCCCAAAGGUUCCCUCAGCCUGGUUGGCAAUCAGGUGGUGAGUGUAAGUGCACAAGGGGGCUUGACUGUGAGACGGACGUGUCGAGCAGGGACGAAAGUCGGGACUAGUGAUCCGGCAUCUCCUGGUGGAAGGGGUGUCGCUCAACGGAUAAAAGGUACCCCGGGGAUAACAGGCUGAUCUUGCCCAAGAGUCCAUAUCGACGGCAUGGUUUGGCACCUCGAUGUCGGCUCGUCGCAUCCUGGGGCUGGAGUAGGUCCCAAGGGUUGGGCUGCUCGCCCAUUAAAGCGGUACGCGAGCUGGGUUUAGAACGUCGUGAGACAGUUCGGUCCCUAUCCGCCGUGCGCGUAGGAGACUUGAGGAAGGCUGUCCCUAGUACGAGAGGACCGGGACGGACGGACCUCUGGUGUGCCAGUUGUCCCGCCAGGGGCAUGGCUGGUUGGCUAUGUUCGGAAGGGAUAACCGCUGAAGGCAUCUAAGCGGGAAGCUCGUUCCAAGAUGAGGUCUCCCACCACCUUGCGUGGUUAAGGCCCCCUAGAGACGAUGGGGUUGAUAGGCCGGGGAUGGAAGCUCUGUGGGGAGUGGAGUCGACCGGUACUAAUAGGCCGAGGGCUUGCCCUA